AUGCACGCUGGCGGCGUGCCUAAUCCCUGCCAGUCGAGCGCACGGACGAGAAGCUUGCUUCUCUGAUGUUAGCGGCGGACGGGUGAGUAACACGUGGAUAACCUACCUAUAAGACUGGGAUAACUUCGGGAAACCGGAGCUAAUACCGGAUAAUAUUUUGAACCGCAUGGUUCAAAAGUGAAAGACGGUCUUGCUGUCACUUAUAGAUGGAUCCGCGCUGCAUUAGCUAGUUGGCAAGGUAACGGCUUACCAAGGCAACGAUGCAUAGCCGACCUGAGAGGGUGAUCGGCCACACUGGAACUGAGACACGGUCCAGACUCCUACGGGAGGCAGCAGUAGGGAAUCUUCCGCAAUGGGCGAAAGCCUGACGGAGCAACGCCGCGUGAGUGAUGAAGGUCUUCGGAUCGUAAAACUCUGUUAUUAGGGAAGAACAUAUGUGUAAGUAACUGUGCACAUCUUGACGGUACCUAAUCAGAAAGCCACGGCUAACUACGUG
rnacentral:rRNA from 1 species